ACUGAAAAUUGCAUUAAAUGCAAAUUUGAUGCUGCUAAUUGCUGCAAUUAUACAAAAUGCAGAGGGGCGCAAAUACUGAAGAUAGUGAAAUUGCAUUAACUGCAAGCUGACUAGCAGAGUACAUCAACCACAGCAAGGAGGAUUAGCUAAGUGGACUCUACAGCCAAUAGGCCACAUAAUUAAGUUAGUUUUAAGUUAAUUCGAAAUGUGCAUUUAGGCGCAAGCGCUGUCAUAUAAGUUCGCUGCAUAUAUGUAUAUAUGUGCCGUAAAUAAACUUU
rnacentral:sRNA from 1 species